GAUGAACGCUGGCGGCGUGCCUAACACAUGCAAGUCGAACGGUCUCUUCGGAGGCAGUGGCAGACGGGUGAGUAACGCGUGGGAAUCUACCUGAUACUACGGAACAACAGAGGGAAACUUCUGCUAAUACCGUAUACGCCCUACGGGGAAAGAUUUAUCGGAAUUAGAUGAGCCCGCGUAAGAUUAGCUAGUUGGUGAGG
rnacentral:rRNA from 1 species